CGCUCCCGCCGGAGGCGCCGUCGCGCGUCUCCCCUCAGGGGCGGCUGAGGGGUGUCCGCCGCAAACGGUCGGGGGGUUCUGCAAAGCUGCGGUCGCGCCGGUGCUGCCUCGGUUCUGGGUUCGCUCCUCGGCCGCAGAGGAAGGAGAUGUGACGAGGAAGGACCUGGCUCUGCACCGGCACAGGCUCUUCGGAAGGUGUCGCUUGCGAAAGGUGUCAGCGCUUUCCGGAGCGUGUACUGGGGAGAGGAGAAAGGCUGCGGUGCGAUGGGGCCCCCGCGGAACUGCGCCAGGCUCCUGUGGGAGGGUGAGAGUGGCAGCACCUUCAAAGCGCAUGGGGAGCAGCCCCUCAGCCCCCUCAGACCUCACAGCGGAUCAGCCUUCAACCCCCUCAAACCUCACAGGGGAUCAUCCCCUCAAUGCCCUCAAACCGCACAGGGAACAGCCCCUCAAAACCUCGCAAGGGAUAAGCCCUCAGCCCCCCAAAACCCGCAGAGGAUCAGCCCUCAGCCCCCUCAAACCUCACAGGGGAUCAUCCCCUCAAUGCCCUCAAACCGCACAAGGAUCAUCCCCUCAAUGCCCUCGAUCCUCACAUGGAACAGCCACUCAGUCCCCCAAAACGUCGCAGGAGAUCAUCCCCUCAAUGCCCUCAAACCGCAAAGGCAAUCAGCUCCUCAACCCCAAAAACCUCGUAGGGGAUCAGCGCUUCAGCCCCCUCAAAGCUCUCAGGGGGAGCAGCCCCUCAAUCCCCUCACACCUCUCAGUUCACGGUGGUUCUCCUCAAAAAGUCCUCUAAGUCGCAGGGCUGCAGGCAUGGGGUGACAGUAGGAAGUUCCUGUUCCAUUAAAAUGUCUUUUCUCUGUCUGAAACAGAAACACGGGCUGAAUUGUAAAAGGAUCAAAACCACCCCUGCCCUUUGCUGUUCACCAGCAUGUUUGCUUUUAGUAUUCAGCCCAGGACUGACACAGAAUGGGAGGAUUUCCCAAAUGGCUUUGUUACAACAUUAAGCCUGGUAACCUACCCUGGGUCACUCCCGAGCAGAAAAUAAGGAGUUUGAAAGAAAACACUGAUUUCUAAGGGCAGCUUGUUCCAAGGAUUGUUCCUGCGCUGAAACAAAGCCUGUGAAAACACGAGUCGCGAGUCAUUCCCUAAGUUACUGUUUCUGCACGGGCUGAUCUUACCACAUCGGAGCUGCUGAAAGGUCAAGCCCGAGUUGCUUUCUCGCUGAUACUUUGCUGAUGCUCCUCCAACCCAGGAGUAACGAGGUGCCACAGCUAAUGGCAGUCACGAGACAGAAACCAUGGUGGUGUUGGAAUGGAGGCAAAAGAUUUCUCUGCAGUUCCAUCCAGGGCAGUGAAAAAAAAAAAAAAAAAAAACCAGCGUUGUGACAAGAGGAAGUGCAAGUAAUUAAUACCAGAAGAUCAAAUGAAAGGAGUGGCUUUGCAAGAAGUGACUAAUGUUGACUGUGCUCCAGGAAGGCCCAGAUUGCUCUGUGGAGAGAGGAGCUUUCGUGGCCCCAGCGCACAGAGCACAGCGGGCAGGGACUCGCCACGGCAGCACCACGGGGCACCUUUCCCCUGCAAAGAAAGGGUUGCUUUCUUCUCAGCUCAAAGGCUGCUGCUCACAGGGUCCCUAGCACUGCAGCAGUUUGAUUGUUGUGUGCAGAGAAAGCAACACCAAAGCAUCAAACACAGACCAGCUUGGGGAGCAUUUUGCCAGCAGCUGAUACAGUGGGAAGCGCAUCUCAGAACAGCAGGGCAGCAGAGCAAAACAAAAGCCCCAGAGCCAGGACUGUUGUGUCAUUUGGCACAUCCUGGCACUUGCCUUCAUUCUGCUUCACAACUUGCAAGGGAAGGCCAAAGCUUCUUAUUUGCUAAUUAAGGUUUCACAUGAUUCAAACAUUGAACAAAGGACAUCCCCAAACAGAGAAACCUGCCAGCCUUCACGGCCCUGCCAACAGGCUGAUGUCUCAGUUCAGUGCCCUCCCAACACAGAGUGAAAGAGCUCUGGACAAUGGCACAUACAAAUGUGCACACACACACACAGAGUUUUAUACUGGCGUGCACACAUUACCUUUGAUCAGGUUCCAAAGCUUCCACCUCUCUGUUUUUGUUAAGGACACUCCAGACAUCCUACAGACAGGGGUGAAACAGGCAUUAAAACAGCAGACCUCUAUUUUAUGGUGUCAAAUGACUAAUAAUAGUAAUUAAGGAUCUUAAAGUCCUUUAUCAAGAGGCAUUAUCUAAGAUGGCAUCAUGCCUGUAAUCAGAGUCAAUGAAAAACUGAUCAAGCCAAGAAGGCAACUAAAACACUCUGAUGAGUUGCCAUCUGCUCAAGCCACCCCACCCCUUGAAUCCAGCAGUGAGCCACUGCAGGACACUGACAACCAGCUUGUUUUCCUUCAUUUCAGCUGAACCCUCAGUGCCUGUCAAUGUGUUCCAGAGGACUCCCAAGCCCAAAAGUGACAGAUCCCUGCUGGACAUGCAGCUCUGACAAUGUUUUGCCUUGCCACUUUUGUGGAUUGAUUGUGCCCAUGCAGCAAGGUAAAGCAUUAAGGGUUAAUCAGAAUUUUUCCCAUAUAUUGAGUAUUUGCAUGUAUAUUUAUUUUAUAAAACAUGGUUAGUUGAUGCAUAAAAGCCUUUGGCACUCAUUCAGCCUCUGGGUAGAAGUCCAGCUACUCCUGGAAGAGCUUUUGACCCAGCAAUUGUAAUAAAAUGUAGGCCUGGACUAUGGAAUAGAUUCUUGAGCAGAUUCUUAGCAAUAGAAGACAAGUUCAGGGCAGAUGGAGGUUACCAAAUUGUCACAGUUUGAGAAAGAAAAUUGGUACAUUCAAGGAAGGAGCAAUUUGAAGUUCUUAUAAAGCACUUGGACACCACAAUGAUGGGCAAGAGUUUCUUCACUCAUUUUGCUUUCUCUUAUCACUUCCCAGCUGUUUCUUCUACUUUCAGGUAGGUUCAAUUUAUCCUUCUAUUUUUACCCACACAGUUCACUAACAGGCUUUGAGUUGAGAUUCUUCUGGCUUUAGUGAUGAGGUGCCAGCUGUGCAUCCCUGCAAGCUGGUGCAUGUACGACCUUGAAAAUUUCUGGGAAGCCAAUCAGGAGAUGCUUUUAAACAGUUUCCUAUCUCCCAGAGAGCAUCUCUCUGUUUUUAGCUUUAGAUAUAUAUCACAUUAUAACAUCCAGAGCAUUGUGCAGACAUUACCCAGCCAAUGCCAGCCCAAGCCCCUCCCAGCCUGUACCCUGUUAUUGCCUAAGUAACAGCUCCUCCAUUCCACUGGAGCCAGCCCAGGGAGUUCUUUCUGCUUCCUUCUCUGCAGGAAUAUUAAACCAGAAUGAGAAUGAAGAGAGCUGUUAAUUUUAUGUCAUGGCAAGGAAAGUGAAGGUCUUCAGAUCACACUUUCUCCUCAGUCUUUUAAUUGCAAAAUUAUACUUCAAGAUUUGACACAAGUUUCUCACCUCUCUGUUUUCAAGCUACUAGCAAGCAAAACCAGACAAAAAUACUUCUUUUUUUCCUACUCUGCAGAGCCUGUUAAUUUCAAAUAGGUGAAAUAUUGCUAAUUAGUAGCAUAUUCUAACAGAACUUGUGAUUUACAGAGAGCUACGUCAAGCUAAACCAGAUUAAGGGUCAGAAUGUGCCAAUCUUUUCAUUGUUAUCACUUUGUGAUUUAUGUACCCCCUCAACAUGUGCCCUCCCAGGAUCUUGGAGCCCUUGGCUAGCACUGCUCAGCUGCUCCACAGUUAUUCCUCACACCAGAUCCAGCAAGACAUUCACAGCACGCUCUUCUCACAUUUUCUCUAAACAUUAGGUACAAUAGCAGAAAUAGAAAUUGGAGAUUUAGAAGCAGGAAACAUGGGAGUCUGCGUGGAAACAGAUGACUAACAGAAUUUUUGCUAAAUAAAAACAUGAAAAGGGGUAAAAAAAAGAUUCCUGAGCAGACAUAAUACCUUUCUUUUUCUGGAUAAGCACUAAGCUAGGCUCUGGAACACUCCCACUUCUGUGAUGCUUAGUAACCUGUUUCUAAUUUCAAAUUAAAUUUUAAUGAAAAUGAUGGGAAUACUCCUUAAAUAAAAUAGAAUGGGGUUUCCUGUGGUCCUCCUCCAGAUCCCACACUUUUUACCUUUACCAUGAAACUAACUCCACAGUGCUUGACCAGCAGUGUGCCAUGACCCUUCCCUGUCAUCCCUACAGCCAUCCAGUGUCUUUCCUUUUGAUUAAACUUCACCUUCCAAGACAGAAAUUCCUGCCCUGCCUCUGGAUAACACCCUGCACAACAGGAUCUGAGCAUCUAGA